GUCUAUGGACAUGCCACCCUGAACAAGUCUGAUCCCAUCUGGUCUCGGAAGCUAAGCCGGGUCAGGCCUGGUUAGUACUUGGAUGGGAGAUCGCCCACCCAAGUACUAAUGCAUAUCCAAGGAAGACCAGGUGAUGUAGGCG
rfam:Pteropus alecto contig61821, whole genome shotgun sequence.